rnacentral:rRNA from 1 species
CCCUUAGAUGUUCUGGGCCGCACGCGCGCUACACUGACUACUUCAACGAGUUGUUUCCUUGAUCGAAAGGUCUGGAUAAUCUUUGAAAGGUAGUCGUGAUGGGGAUAGAUCCUUGCAAUUUUUGAUCUUCAACGAGGAAUUCCUAGUAAACGCAAGUCAUCAGCUUGCAUUGAUUACGUCCCUGCCCUUUGUACACACCGCCCGUCGCACCUACCGAUUGAAUGGUCCGGUGAAUCUUUAGGACUGUGGCUGAGGCCUUGCCUUGUGCGGGUCUGGCCGUGGGAAUUUAGUUAAACCUUACCAUUUAGAGGAAGGUGAAGUCGUAACA